rnacentral:rRNA from 1 species
CUGCAUGGCUGUCGUCAGCUCGUGUCGUGAGAUGUUGGGUUAAGUCCCGCAACGAGCGCAACCCUUGUUCAUUAGUUGCUACAUUCAGUUGGGCACUCUAAUGAGACUGCCGGUGACAAACCGGAGGAAGGUGGGGAUGACGUCAAGUCCUCAUGGCCCUUAUAGUGGGGCUACACACGUCAUACAAUGGAUGGUACAAAGGGUCGCCAACCCGCGAGGGGGAGCCAAUCCCAUAAAGCCAUUCGUAGUCCGGAUCGCAGUCUGCAACUCGACUGCGUGAAGUCGGAAUCGCUAGUAAUCGUGGAUCAGAAUGUCACGGUGAAUACGUUCCCGGGUCUU